CCUACGGGAGGCAGCAGUGAGGAAUAUUGGUCAAUGGGCGCGAGCCUGAACCAGCCAAGUAGCGUGAAGGAUGACUGCCCUAUGGGUUGUAAACUUCUUUUAUAAAGGAAUAAAGUGCGGUACGUGUACCUUUUUGCAUGUACCUUAUGAAUAAGGAUCGGCUAACUCCGUGCCAGCAGCCGCGGUAAUACGGAGGAUCCGAUCGUUAUCCGGAUUUAUUGGGUUUAAAGGGAGCGUAGGUGGGUUGUUAAGUCAGUUGUGAAAGUUUGCGGCUCAACCGUAAAAUUGCAGUUGAUACUGGCAGCCUUGAGUACAGUAGAGGUAGGCGGAAUUCGUGGUGUAGCGGUGAAAUGCUUAGAUAUCACGAAGAACUCCGAUUGCGAAGGCAGCCUGCUAAACUGCAACUGACGUUGAUGCUCGAAAGUGUGGGUAUCAAACAGGAUUAGAUACCCUAGUAGUC
rnacentral:rRNA from 1 species